GAUGAACGCUGGCGGCGUGCCUAAUACAUGCGAGUCGAGCGAACAGAUAAGGAGCUUGCUCCUUUGACGUUAGCGGCGGACGGGUGAGUAACACGUGGGUAACCUACCUAUAAGACUGGAAUAACUCCGGGAAACCGGGGCUAAUGCCGGAUAACAUUUAGAACCGCAUGGUUCUAAAGUGAAAGAUGGUUUUGCUAUCACUUAUAGAUGGACCCGCGCCGUAUUAGCUAGUUGGUAAGGUAACGGCUUACCAAGGCAACGAUACGUAGCCGACCUGAGAGGGUGAUCGGCCACACUGGAACUGCGACACGGUCCAGACUCCUACGGGACGCAGCAGUACAGAAUCUUCCGCAAUGCGCGAAAGCCUGACGGAGCACCGCCGCGUGAGUGAUGAAGGGCUUCGGAUCGUAAAACUCUGUUAUUAGGGAAGAACAAAUGUGUAAGUAACUGUGCACGUCUUGACGGUACCUAAUCAGAAAGCCACGACUAACUCCGUG
rnacentral:rRNA from 1 species